rnacentral:lncRNA from 1 species
UUAAGUAUAUAUUACAACUUAAAUAUGAAUAAUUUUUUUCAAAUGAAUUUCAAAGUCUAAAAUACAUUAAUUAAUUAAACAAACUGUUUUAGUCACAUAGCAACGGGGCAAGCACUAUAGCAAGUCUCUCAAGCUUUAAGCACACUUAGAUUCCCUGGCAACUGCCACAAAGCUGAUUUUGAUAUAGCAGCUCUGGGCUCAGCCAGAGAUUCUGUAUUUCUAGCGGGGGAUGGAAGGCUGCUGCUCCGUGGCUCGUGCACUUCAUACAAACAGCAGACAGAUGCUGAUGAGGGGAAAAAAGCAAUUCACAAUUACUACAGACAAGCCACAUAUCAUAAGAUAAGCUAUUUGAGAAUUAAGUCAGUUAUUUGACAUCUUUGCUUCUAGUAUUUUUGUAGACUUAGAUUCCCCUCCUUCCCCACCUCCUUCCUUCCAUUUUUCCUUCUUCCCUCCCUUCUUCCUUUCCUUUUUUCUUUUUUAUUUCAAGAGGUUUCUUGGUAUUUAAGGCAGAAAGACUUAUAUAUAUGUUAUAUAUCUAAUAUUUAUGUAAUUCACAGUGACAGAGGAAAACAUGCAGUCUUCCUGUUUUUCUCUUGUUUUUUAACAUCCACAGUCACAUAAAGAAAUGAUUUGUGGAACAGAGAAGGAUAUGUCUAUAAAACAAACCAAGAAAAAAGAAUUUGAUGUUAUUAUUAAUGAAGCAGGUGGCACACCUUUUCAAAAUCCCAUUUUAGCUGGGCAGUGAUUUGCAAGGAAAACUGACGUGUUCGUUUUUGCCAGUCUUUACAAACCCAAGGCUUAUUGAAAGUCAGGGGGAAAAAUAAAAUAAGACAGGGAAAAACCACUUUAAUAAGUCUUAGGUGGAUUUUUUGCUGAAUUUUUAUUGUUUUGUAUCUGAUUUGGGGCAAAAAUGCGAAGACACUUGUCUAGUAGAAAAAUUACUUCAAAUGGCACCUGAAGUUGAGGCUGACAUUGAAGUAACUAGUAUUUUGAUUUCCAGAAAACAUACAUAAUGAUGAGGAAAUUGCUUUAUAUCUAUGUUCUAGAAAAAAACCACUCCAGACUCUUAUCU